rnacentral:rRNA from 1 species
GACGAAGGAUGCAAGCGUUAUCCGGAUUCAUUGGGUUUAAAGGGUGCGUAGGUGGCCUUAUAAGUCAGUGGUGAAAUCUCGCAGCUUAACUGCGAAAUUGCCAUUGAUACUGUAGGGCUUGAGUACAGUUGCUGUGGGCGGAAUAUGACAUGUAGUGGUGAAAUGCAUAGAGAUGUCAUAGAACACCGAUUGCGAAGGCAGCUUACAAAACUGUAACUGACACUGAGGCUCGAAAGUGCGGGGAGCAAACAGG